rnacentral:tRNA from 1 species
GCUCAGUUGGUUAAGCAUCUGACUCUUGAUUUCAGCUCAGGUCAGUGAUCUCACAACACUUUGUGGGUUCAAACCCCGCAUCGAGCU